CGAUCGCAAGUAUGAUUGCUUCGAGUAAUAACUAUCUUAAGUGUGGCAUUUUAACCGAAACUAAGGUUACCACGGUCAAUUUUGUAAGAAAACACCUUCUAGCUCUGCGGUUCGAGGGUCGUCCCAUGAGCUGUCGCAGUUUUCCGUCUACCACUGUGUGCGCUCUGCAGGGCGGAAGCUAUGAAAACACCUCUUUCCUUCCCCCCAGCCCCGACACGAAGUCCAGGCCCUCCAGUAUCCCAUCACCCCCUGCGACUAUCCAAGCUGUUACGGCAGGCUGGGCCGCGAGUGCCUGUGCCAGGGCGCGGCAGGACCGGAUCCGACCGGUGGGCGACUGGCUCCUCCUCCUCCUCCAAGCUGCCGUGUGUGCUAAGCGCCUUGCCGUUAGCCGGAAGGAUGCUUCAGUGAGGACAGAUAUCUUGAGACUAAACGAUAGGAAGACAAGACAAGAGAACAGGGCCAGAAGACAACACAUGCUGGAUGCAAAUUCACCUCCACCUGAGCUCUGUAUUAAUGCGCCAAGUUGCAUCAACCCUUUACAACACCGCAAACAACCUGCAGGUAAACUAUGAGCUAGCCUAUACUUUCAGUUUUUUCCAAGAAUUAUCAUUGCCCAUCGUGAUUUAGGCUAUUGUUCCUAAUUUCAUUUUUUAGUGAACAUUUUUGUCUUUCUAUCUUUAUAAAUGUAGUA
rnacentral:lncRNA from 1 species